GACGAACGCUGGCGGCGUGCUUAACACAUGCAAGUCGAACGAUGAAGCUCUAGCUUGCUGGGGUGGAUUAGUGGCGAACGGGUGAGUAACACGUGAGUAACCUGCCCUUUACUUCGGGAUAAGCUUGGGAAACUGGGUCUAAUACCGGAUAUUCUGCGUGAUCGGAUGGUUGUGUAGGAAAGAUUUUUGGUAAGGGAUGGGCUCGCGGCCUAUCAGUUUGUUGGUGGGGUGAUGGCCUACCAAGACGACGACGGGUAGCCGGCCUGAGAGGGCGACCGGCCACACUGGGACUGAGACACGGCCCAGACUCCUACGGGAGGCAGCAGUGGGGAAUAUUGCACAAUGGGGGAAACCCUGAUGCAGCGACGCCGCGUGGGGGAUGACGGCCUUCGGGUUGUAAACCUCUUUCAGUAGGGAAGAAGCGAAAGUGACGGUACCUGCAGAAGAAGUACCGGCUAACUACGUGCCAGCAGCCGCGGUAAUACGUAGGGUACUAGCGUUGUCCGGAAUUAUUGGGCGUAAAGAGCUCGUAGGUGGUUUGUCGCGUCUGCUGUGGAAACGUGCCGCUUAACGGUGCGCGUGCAGUGGGUACGGGCGGACUAGAGUGCAGUAGGGGAGUCUGGAAUUCCUGGUGUAGCGGUGAAAUGCGCAGAUAUCAGGAGGAACACCGGUGGCGAAGGCGGGACUCUGGGCUGUUACUGACGCUGAGGAGCGAAAGCAUGGGGAGCGAACAGGAUUAGAUACCCUGGUAGUCCAUGCCGUAAACGUUGGGCACUAGGUGUGGGGUCCAUUCCACGGAUUCUGCGCCGUAGCUAACGCAUUAAGUGCCCCGCCUGGGGAGUACGGCCGCAAGGCUAAAACUCAAAGGAAUUGACGGGGGCCCGCACAAGCGGCGGAGCAUGCGGAUUAAUUCGAUGCAACGCGAAGAACCUUACCAAGGCUUGACAUGCACUAGACCAUCGCAGAGAUGUGGUUUUCUUUUUGACUGGUGUACAGGUGGUGCAUGGUUGUCGUCAGCUCGUGUCGUGAGAUGUUGGGUUAAGUCCCGCAACGAGCGCAACCCUCGUUCUAUGUUGCCAGCACGUGAUGGUGGGAACUCAUGGGAGACUGCCGGGGUCAACUCGGAGGAAGGUGGGGAUGACGUCAAAUCAUCAUGCCCUUUAUGUCUUGGGCUUCACGCAUGCUACAAUGGCCGGUACAGAGGGUGGCGAUACCGUGAGGUGGAGCGAAUCUCUUAAAGCCGGUCUCAGUUCGGAUCGUAGUCUGCAACUCGACUACGUGAAGUCGGAGUCGCUAGUAAUCGCAGAUCAGCAAUGCUGCGGUGAAUACGUUCCCGGGCCU
rnacentral:rRNA from 1 species